rnacentral:tRNA from 3 species
GCGCCCGUAGCUCAGCGGAUAGAGCGUCUGGUUGCGGUCCAGAAGGUCGCAGGUUCAAUUCCUGCCGGGCGUACCA